rnacentral:rRNA from 1 species
CACGAACGCUGGCGGCAGGCCUAACACAUGCAAGUCGAGCGAGCCCUUCGGGGCUAGCGGCGGACGGGUGAGUAGCGCGUGGGAACGUGCCCUUCUCUACGGAAUAGCCUCGGGAAACUGAGAGUAAUACCGUAUACGCCCUUCGGGGGAAAGAUUUAUCGGAGAAGGAUCGGCCCGCGUUGGAUUGGGGAGUUGGUGGGGUAAUGGCCUACCAAGCCGACGAUCCAUAGCUGGUUUGAGAGGAUGAUCAGCCACACUGGGACUGAGACACGGCCCAGACUCCUACGGGAGGCAGCAGUGGGGAAUCUUAGACAAGGGGGGAAACCCUGAUCUAGCCAUGCCGCGUGAGUGACGAAGGCCUUAGGGUCGUAAAGCUCUUUCGCUGGGGAAGAUAAUGACGGUACCCAGUAAAGAAACCCCGGCUAACUCCGUGCCAGCAGCCGCAGUAACAC